rnacentral:rRNA from 1 species
CCUACGGGUGGCAGCAGUGGGGAAUAUUGGACAAUGGGGGGAACCCUUAUCCAGCCAUGCCGCGUGUGUGAAGAAGGCCCUCGGGUUGUAAAGCACUUUCAGUGAGGAAGAACGCCUGGUGGUUAAUACCCAUCAGGAAAGGCAUCACUCACAGAAGAAGCACCGGCUAACUCCGUGCCAGCAGCCGCGGUAAUACGGAGGGUGCGAGCGUUAAUCGGAAUUACUGGGCGUAAAGCGCGCGUAGGUGGCUUGAUAAGCCGGUUGUGAAAGCCCCGGGCUCAACCUGGGAACGGCAUCCGGAACUGUCAAGCUAGAGUGCAGGAGAGGAAGGUAGAAUUCCCGGUGUAGCGGUGAAAUGCGUAGAGAUCGGGAGGAAUACCAGUGGCGAAGGCGGCCUUCUGGACUGACACUGACACUGAGGUGCGAAAGCGUGGGUAGCAAACAGGAUUAGAUACCCCUGUAGUC